UACGUAGGGUGCGAGCGUUGUCCGGAAUUAUUGGGCGUAAAGAGCUCGUAGGCGGUCUGUCGCGUCCGUUGUGAAAACUCGAGGCUCAACCUCGGGCUUGCAGUGGAUACGGGCAGACUAGAGUGCGGUAGGGGAGACUGGAAUUCCUGGUGUAGAGGUGAAAUUCGUAGAUAUCGGGAGGAACACCAGUGGCGAAGGCGGCGAUCUGGGAAGAUACUGACGCUGAGGUGCGAAAGCGUGGGGAGCAAACAGG
rnacentral:rRNA from 1 species